CACACACACACACACACACACACACACACACACACACACACACAAAACUUUCUGAGUACAUUGAAUUAAUUUAAAGUCAAUUAAAAUGAUAUUAAACCCCAGUGUGAUGGGCAACUAUUUAAAUCUAAGUACCAGACAGUUAUUAAUAGAAGAGUGUUUUAUGAAGAGUGGGGGUACUCAAUUCUGGCCUCGAGUCUGAUAUGACGGUCUUGGUCUUAUCUUUGCUCUUGGUUGAUCCUGACUCGGACUAGAAUAUUUUUUUGGAUUCUGAAACCCCAAUCCAAAACUAGUUUUAUUAUUAUUAUUGUUCAUUUUAAAUUUAAAGUUUUGUUGUUGUGAUUUUUGUCAACAUCCUCAUCAUCAUUAUUAACUAGUAUUAAUAUUUUAUUUCAUUUUGGGUGAAGUUUAUUUUAGAAAGUAAAAAUUUAUAUAUAUAUAUAUAUAUAUAAAACAGGAUUAGGUGAUUGACAGCAGUGUUUGCCUAUCAGCGAGUAGUAUCUCCUAUCUAAAGGCUGAUUGGUUGUUACCUUGGGAUGCGUCACGUCCGUUUUCCCCUUUUGUUUUUCUGUGUUGGCGGUAGCUGUGGGUAAGUGUGCUGUGUUUUAAUAUGGUCAUUUAGAAAUCGUUUUUUUAUUUAAUUAGAGUGCAGUUUAAUGUGCUGGUGUUGGUGCCCUUUUUGUGCUGCUUAGUGGAUUUGAUGACUGUUUGCUUCUCAGGUAUCACAUCUCCACCCAACUUCACACAUAAGGCGCAGAUGCAGCGCUCGUCCCGUCUGCAGUAGAGUUCCAGAGGCCUGCCGUGCGCAUUGCAUGCUCUCUGAUCCAACUUCUCCAAGGGAUUCACCAGUUUAUGGCCCUUGAAUCUCACCAUAGACUGGUGCUGCUUCAGGUGUCGAUCGCAGUACGAGAGAAGACAGUUCAAGCAGGACUUCACAGCUUUGAACGUGAGGAGGGCGUCAAGCGCUGCAUUCACGGAUGGCUUGGUGGACACAGGCUCCUGGCAAAUUGGGCAGUGUGGCUCGGACAUGCUUAUGUGCUGGUCCAGACAACGCUUGCAGAAGGUGUGUCCACAGCUGGUUGAGACCGGAUCUGCUAACAGGUUUUUACAGACGGGACAAUGAAGGUGGCGAGAGACAUCUAUGGCUGUCGUCAUUGUGAUUGUGUCAGCUGUCAAACCUGAGGGUAGACCGAACAGCAGCAACGACAAUAAUUCUAAUAUUAAUAAUGUGGCUUUAUUUGUGGUCAGACACUUGCAUGUAUCAUAUUAUUAGUAUAUUACCAAAAUCGAGCUCAAACUUACAAAGCGAAUCAUUAGAACGGCCGUAUCUGAUUAGGGAAGUGCUUUGCAUUAUGUUUUCAUCAACUUACUGGUUAUGAAGUUUGUAACUAUAACUAUGUGGGUGCUCAGUUUUUUUUUUUUUUUUUUUUUUUUUUUUUUUUGUCAUUUUGCCCAGACAUUUAAGACAUUAAAGGGUAUUUAAGGCUAUUAAAGAAAAUGCUGUACAACCAGUUCUUUAUUUACCUUAGCAAUGCUAACAAGCAGAGACUCAAAUAUUGUUUGUGCCUGUACUUGCGUUAUUCCCAAUGUGGUGUUUUGAGUGCUUGCUACAACAUUGCUAGGUGGUUGCUAAGCAGUUCCAAUGGUGUUCUGUAUGUGGAACAGCAAUGUAACGCUCAUGGCGUGAGAAGCUGAUAAAACGGGGAGACGCAGCGCAAAGACGCAUCUCAAAGACUUUGGUAGCACAUAAAGAUAACCCUUAAACCAUG